UACGUAGGCAUCAAACGUUGUUCGGAAUUACUGGGCGUAAAGAGUGUGUAGGCGGCUUUGUAAGUUCUGUGUGAAAUCUCCCGGCUCAACUGGGAGGGUGCGCCGAAUACUGCAAGGCUUGAGUACUGGAGAGGAUAGCGGAAUUCCUGGUGUAGCGGUGAAAUGCGUAGAUAUCAGGAGGAACACCGGCGGUGUAGACGGCUAUCUGGACAGUAACUGACGCUGAGACACGAAAGCGUGGGGAGCAAACAGG
rnacentral:rRNA from 1 species